rnacentral:rRNA from 1 species
UUUUAUUUGAGUUUGAUGAUGGCUCUGAGUGAACGCUAUGUAAAUGCUUGACACAUGCUAAUCGAACGUCAAUAUUUAAUUUGUAUAAAUUAUGUAUAUUGAAGUGGUGUACAGGUGAGUAAGUGGUAUUAUGGCUACCUAAGAGUAAGGCAAAAUAAAUCCCUUAUAAUAACCAUUUAUUAUUAGUUAUUAACACUAGAUCUAAUCACCCAGUGGUCGAUUAUAUUGAAAAGUUUAGAUAUAAAGGUUAAUAAUAUUAAUACUAAAUGUGUUUAAAAGAAAUAGUAUUUCGCUCUUAGUUGAUUAUUAAUAACCAUCGGAUAAGUAGUAAAUAUGGUAAUGGCAUAUUUAGCUUGUGUCCGUAGUCAAGACUGAGAGGUCUAUUGACCACACUGGGUCUGAAAAAACCCCAGUGCGUGUAGUACAGCAGUGAGGAAUUUUGGUCAAUGGCCUAACGGCUGAACCAGCAACUUGCAGGAAUGAGAGUUAAUAUAAUAAGUUUAUUAACUUGCUUGACUAGGUCUUAUAAAGUUCUGGAUAAAGCUUAUUAUGAAAACUUUAUAUCCAUAGGUCUCGACCAAAUCUUGUGCCAGCAGUCGCGGUAAGACAAGGGAGACGAGUGUUAUUCAUCUUUAACAGGUAUAUAGGGUACCUAGACGGUGUGCAAUGGCUUAAAUAAGUACCUGGUACACUUGAGUUUGAUAUGUGAGAGGAAUAUGUCGGAAUUGUUGGAGGAAAGAUGAAAUUUGUUAAUACCAAUAGGACUGAUAACGGCGAAGGCAAACCUCUAUGUACAUGUACUUGCUAUCUCUCUAUUAGAGAGGAACAGAAAUUUCUCUUAUAAAAAAUCUUAUAUAAAAAAAGAGGAAAACAGCAAUGUGCUAUAACUGACGUUGAGGGACGAAGGCUCAGAGAGUGAAGAGGAUUAGAUACCCCCGUAACCUGGGCAGACAAUGAUGAGUGCCAUAGGUUGGCUUUAAGGCGGAACUAUAAAUGAAAGUGGAAGCACUCCACCUCAAGAGUAAUGUGGCAACGCAGGAACUGAAAUCAUUAGACCGUUUCUGAAACCAGUAGUGAAGUAUGUUAUUUAAUUCGAUGAUCCGCGAAUAACCUUACCACAAUUUGAAUGACCUAAAAUAUUUUUUUUUGAAUUUUUAGACCACAUGCGUUGCAUGGCUGUCUUCAGUUAAUGUCGUGAGAUUUGGUUAGGUCCAUUAAAUUAACGUAAACCCUUGUUUUAUUUAUUACAAUAAAGCAGCUCUCCGCUUACAAUUGGAUGUGAUAAUAGGGACUAAGACAAGUCAUCAUGGCCUUAAUAUUGUGGGCUAUAGACGUGCCACAUGUGCCUUUACAAAGGGAUGCAAUAAUGCGAAUUGGAGCUAAUCCCUAAAAUAGGAUAAAGUAUGGAUUGUAGUCUGAAAUUCGACUGCAUGAAAAAGGAAUUACUAGUAAUCGUGAGUAAUCACAUCACGGUGAAUUUUAUCUCAGAUAGGUACUAACCACUCGUCAGGCGCUGAAAGGAGUAUGUGCAAUAAGUUUGGUGGCUGCGGAUUGCUAGUCUAAAUGUACAGGUUUAGAUCUUUUGGCAGAAAUAUCUUCGUAUGCGUGACUCUAAUUGGUGUUAAGUCGAAAACCAAAAAGAAAUUGAGACCUUCUUUU